rnacentral:misc_RNA from 1 species
AACGCACAUUGCGCCCGCCAGCAUUCUGGCGGGCAUGCCUGUUCGAGCGUCAUUUCAACCCUCAGGCCCUGCCUGGUGUUGGAGGACUGCGCACGCAGCCUCCCAAAGCAAGCGGCGGCGGCGCCCCAAAACCGAACGCAGUAGUUACUUCUCGUUCCGGGUCUGGGUCGUUGUCCUGCCGGAAAACCCCCAUCUUUUUCAUGGUUGACCUCGAAUCAGGUAGGAAUACCCGCUGAACUUAA